AGUGAACGCUGGCGGUAGGCCUAACACAUGCAAGUCGAACGGCAGCACAGUAAGUGCUUGCUCUUACGGGUGGCGAGUGGCGGACGGGUGAGGAAUACAUCGGAAUCUACUUUUUCGUGGGGGAUAACGUAGGGAAACUUACGCUAAUACCGCAUACGACCUACGGGUGAAAGCAGGGGAUCUUCGGACCUUGCGCGAUUGAAUGAGCCGAUGUCGGAUUAGCUAGUUGGCGGGGUAAAGGCCCACCCAGGCGACGAUCCGUAGCUGGUCUGAGAGGAUGAGCAGCCGCACUGGAACUGAGGCACGGUCCAGACUCCUACAGGAGGCAGCAGUGGGGAAUAUUGGAAAAUGGGCGAAAGGCUGAUCCAGCGAUACCGCGUGGGUGAAGAAGGCCUUCGGGUUGUAGAGCCCUUUUGUUGGGAAAGAAGAGCAGCAGGUUAAUACCCGGCUGUUCUGACGGUACCCAAAGAAUAAGCACCGGCUAACUUCGUG
rnacentral:rRNA from 1 species